rnacentral:rRNA from 1 species
AUACGUAGGGGGCGAGCGUUGUCCGGAAUGACUGGGCGUAAAGGGCGUGUGGCGGCCGAUUAAGUCUGGAGUGAAAGUCCUGCUUUCAAGGUGGGAAUUGCUUUGGAGACUGGUUGGCUUGAGUGCGGAAGAGGUAAGUGGAAUUCCCAGUGUAGCGGUGAAAUGCGUAGAGAUUGGGAGGAACACCAGUGGCGAAGGCGACUUACUGGGCCGUAACUGACGCUGAGGCGCGAAAGCGUGGGGAGCGAACAGGAUUAGAUACCCUGGUAGUCCACGCGGUAAACGAUGAAUGCUAGGUGUAGGGGGUAUCGACCCCUCCUGUGCCGGAGUGGACACAAUAAGCAUUCCGCCUGGGGAGUACGGCCGCAAGGUUGAAACUCAAAUGAAUUGACGGGG